rnacentral:misc_RNA from 1 species
AUUAUCGUUAGAUAAUAUUAGGUUAAGUUAUUAAGGGCGUAUGGUGGAUGCCUUGGCACU